rnacentral:tRNA from 1 species
AGUCCCCUAGUCUAGCGGCAAGGAUUCCGGACUUUGAAUCCGGUGGCAGGAGUUCAAAUCUCCUGGGGACUACCA